rnacentral:tRNA from 1 species
ACUAUUUUGGCAGAUUAGUGCAUUAAAUUUAGAAUUUAUUUAUGUAAUAUUUUAUUACAAGUAGUA